GCUCUCCUCAUUUGCUGGUCUGUCCCUGGACUAAGGGGGAGAUGUCCCUGCUUCAACUCCGGGGGAGACAUUUCAUUCCAGGACCAUCAUUCCACUCCUUAGUUUGGAACGCAAAUGUUUACUUCACUUUUGGCCCAACAUAAAGCUUAUUGCUAUGCACCCCACUCCUGAUGACUGGCUUUAAACGCCAAGAAACGCGCGUCGAGUCUAUGCUCAGGGAUGCCAAGAUCAAGCUUGCCAAAUUAUGUGUUCUAUUACCAUAUUGUUUACAUCCACCAACUUUAUUGGAUAAUCAUGUCUACUGUAUCUAUAUGUCAAUUUAUUGUGAUUGCUUUUAAUGGUCAUGUCCUGGAUUUUUGAAUAGUUUAUAUCAAUGUUACUAUGACUACAUGUAUUAUGCCUUUGUAUGCAUGAUCUCUGUAUUAUUUAUUAUGAUACACAUUAUAUUAUUAAGUUUAUAUUUGACUCCUUCAA